GGGGGGGGGGGCAUAUGUUGAAUUAUAAUUCCCUAGACUAUAGUAUAGAUAUACUAUUACUUUGAAAUUUCAGUGACCUAAGAAAUAUAUCAAACCUGAAGUUUCGUGUUUCACACAAACAUGUAGGUUGGCAAAACCUUUUUAAAUAAUGUAAAUUAAUCACAAGUCUGCAUAUGCCCUCUCAUAGGCAAAUGUAUGCACUGUAUGAUAAGAUAAGAUAAGAUAAGUUUAUUCCAAUUUUGGGCCCAGAGGGCAUAACAGUAAGACAUUUUAUAAAGAAGGAAAUUCAAAAAAGAAAGAAAGUUUACAACAUUAACUACAGGUUACAGAGACUGCAAACUGCGUGUGGAUGCAGCAUGUUGGGGAAACAAGUACAUACAUAUAUGAAUUGCUAAUCAUGUAUAUAUACAAGUAGAUGGACAGUAUCAGUAUUAUACCAAUAUAUGAAUAAUAAACUAUAAUGAUUUUUGCAGUUUUAAAGCAUUACUUCUUUUUCUGAAAGUUUGCACUAAAUAUUCACUCAAUUUGACAAUUACUGGUUUGUCUUCAUUAAUCAUCAACCAAGUAAAUUUGUCCUUAUUUGUUAGAUAGAUAAAAUUUUUGUUGAGCUUGUAUAUACCAUUAAAAAAUAUAUUUCUCUCUUCAACAUAGAAUGGGCAAUCAGUAAGGAAAUGAAAUUCAUCUUCAACACAAUUAAGGUUACUUAAUUCACAUAUUCUUUUGUUUCUUUCUAAAGAAAUCUUCUGGCCAGAAUUGGUUUUUGUAAAUUCAUAUCUUCCUCUUUCAAUUCGAAGGUCAUGUGCACUAAUUCGAAAUCUACAUAGAGUUUUUAUGUAUAAGUAAGAUAUGUAUACUACACGUAUGCCCUUCUCUUGACCCACAUUUUGUAAAUAAAACAGAUAUGAUAAGUCUAUGGCAGUUUAUGAAAACAUAUAUACAUGUCAUCUCAUUGCAAUUUAUAAUUUUGAAACAUCAGUAUUUAAAUUUUAACUGAAUAUGUGUUGAGAUACAGUUUUAAAAUUCACAUUGUCUGACGCAAUCUAAUUACUCAAUGGUAUAAUAUAGACCUAACUGUGCAAAUAUCAAUUAUGAUGAUCUUUUUUCUAGGCAUCAGCCUGAAGACCGAGGGAGGUUAGAUAGGACCAGUGCAGGUUGAAGUGGAUUUCGAGUCAACAAGUAUAACAGCAAGAGAGGUACUCCAUUUACAGUGAUGAUGACAUAUCCCCUGGACCCCUACAACUCCACAAAUUUAAAAAUGUUUGAUCAAGUUCCGAAGAUUAAAGAACUACUGCAAAAUUUGGGACUGGAUGAAAAACAUUAAUUCACUUAUAUGAGCUCAGAGCAGUGGAUGUUAUACAACAUACUUUAAACUAAAUUGUGAAUUUAAGGGAAAACAAGUACAUGUCAUGUACUCGUAUAUUACAAGUACAUGCCUUUUGAAAGACAAUAAUAUUACAUAGAUGUAAAGGAAAUUUCAAUGUUGAUUAUUCUUUCUUAGAUAUAUUAGUAAAAAAUGUGCACAUGAUAGAAUAUCAAUUUUAUAACUUCAAUCAAUGUGUUUGAAUUUUCCUUGUAAUUCAAAAUUUAAAAUCAUAGAUACAUAAAUGUAUAUCAAAUUUUUAGAAAAGUUUCAUAAUGGAACUAAUUCCCCCCCCCCCCCCUUAUACAUACAGUGAACAUAGACCUUCACCUGGGGAAAACUUCAGUUAGUUAAUGCAAUAUACAUGUGCAUGCAUUCUCAGUUAUCCAAUAGUGAGUUUUUGGUUCCAUGUGAAACUACAAUUAGAAAUCUUAAACUUAUGAAAGACACACCUAUCUGUGAGGGUAAGAUGACUCAGAUGGACUUACAUGUAGUGAUCCAUGGGCAGUCCAUGGGUCUCUUUCCAUUGAUAUUAAUUAUUUAUUGAAAUAUGAAAUGGUUAUUUAAACAUAUUUGGUGUAUUAUACUGUAUAGUGAUAUAAAUUUCUAUCAAAAAAUAUGUAUAGAUAAUAGAUUUGGUCCAGAUAUUACAAGAAAUUGUAUGAAAAAUAACUAAAUAUUUAGGCAAUCAUUGUGAGUGCGAAAAGGUCAACUGCAAUAGCACACACUAUAUAUCAUUCUUAAAUGGCUCAUAGAAACUUCUAGUAUUGUGAGUUUGAAUGCUCAAUAUGGUAAUUUGGGAAUGCUUAAUCAUUUAAGGUCAAUAGUUUAUCUCUGCUGACUGUAUCUCUUAAAAUUCAUUUCUAGAAGGGAGGGGGUAGGGUUACAAAAUCUGACAUAGUUUCAGAUUAAACCUCAUUUGGUAUAUUUUUUUCUAUUCAAUAUUUUAGAUACUACUUGACUUAUUGUAAAAAUGAAAUAAAAUCAGAAAUUUUAUGAGCAGAAUUUUGUUGUUGUCAGAAAAUGUAUGCCUGAUAGUAUUUGAGAAACGCCAUAUUUAGGGUAAAUUUGGCCAAUUGCCAAGUCGAAUCAUGCCAAUGUUUUCCUUAGAUGCAUUUUGAAUUUCUAAUCCAUGUUGAUUUUUUAUCUGUUUGUGUUUAAUUUACAUAACUAUAUAUGACAAACAAUAUUUCUGGUGUCAAUAAAAUUUUUAUUGGC